UCAUGAUGCCCUCUUUCAUUUGUUAGGAGCUUAGUACACUCCUAAGUACAAGAAAGGAAAUAAGCCCUUCAGACUCUCUGGAGUGGGUCAGUGACUUAUAAUAAAAACAUUUGCUAACUCCGUGGACGUGGUACAUGUAACAUCAGAAAAUCUUUUCAUGAUGAGGAUAUCUACAAUCACAGUGGUGGUUUUGAUCGCAGUUUUAUCUACAGAGCAGGCACUAGCUCAGGGCUGGUGGGAUAGAAUUCUCUCACAUGCGCGGAGUGGAUGGAACACUGCUAGAGACCAUGCAAGACAAGCUGUAGACGAAGUCCACGAAACGGCCCACUCUGGAUUUGACCUCGCUAGACAGGCUGCACGAGACGCCCAUGAUGCUGCCCAUGCUGGGCUAGAUCUCGCUAGAGAGGCUGCUGGCAAGUUUCGAGCUCGGUUUGACGAAGCACGUAGGCGGUUUGACCAGGACUAAAGUGAUCAAAAAUCACCUAGGAAUGUGAGGAUAAGGUUAAACGGUGAAAAUAAUGGACUCCAAAGCCUUUGUCAUUAAGACCAGUCAGUUGUGGCUCUUACUUUGUGAAGUUAUACUAUCAAAAAUAAAUCAGUAAUAAAAGACUCAAA